UACGAAGGGGGCUAGCGUUGUUCGGAAUUACUGGGCGUAAAGCGCGCGCAGGCGGCUCUUCAAGUCAGGGGUGAAAGCCCAGAGCUCAACUCUGGAACUGCCUUUGAGACUGAAGAGCUUGAGUACGGGAGAGGUGAGUGGAAUUCCCAGUGUAGAGGUGAAAUUCGUAGAUAUUGGGAAGAACACCGGUGGCGAAGGCGGCUCACUGGUCCAUUACUGACGCUGAGGUGCGAAAGCGUGGGGAGCAAACAGG
rnacentral:rRNA from 1 species